AGUGAACGCUGGCGGUAGGCUUAACACAUGCAAGUCGAACGGCAGCACAGUACGUGUUUGCUCUUCCGGGUGGCGAGUGGCGGACGGGAGAGGAAUACAUCGGAAUCUACUUUUUCGUGGGGGAUCACGUAGGGAAACUUAAGAUAAUAUCGCAUACGCUCUACGGGUGAAAGCAGGGGAUCUUCGGACCUUGCGCGAUUGAAUGAGCCGAUGUCGGAUUAGCUAGUUGGCGGGGUAAAGGCCCACCAAGUCGACGAUCCGUAGCUGGUCGGAGAGGAUGGUCAGCCACACUGGAACUGGGACACGGUCCAUGCUCCUACGGGAGGCAGCAGUGUGGAAUAUUGGACAAUGGGCGCAAGCCUUAUCCAGCCAGACCGCGUGGGUGAAGAAGGCCUUCGGUUUGUAAAGCCCGUUUGUUGGGUAAGAAAAGCAGCAGGUUGAUACCCCGCUGUUCUGACGGUACCCAGUGAAUAAGCACCGGCUAACUUCGUG
rnacentral:rRNA from 1 species